rnacentral:rRNA from 1 species
UGGUCAUUUAGAGGAAGUAAAAGUCGUAACAAGGUCUCCGUUGGUGAACCAGCGGAGGGAUCAUUACCGAGUUUACAACUCCCAAACCCAAUGUGAACGUUACCAAACUGUUGCCUCGGCGGGGUCACGCCCCGGGUGCGUCGCAGCCCCGGAACCAGGCGCCCGCCGGAGGAACCAACCAAACUCUUUCUGUAGUCCCCUCGCGGACGUAUUUCUUACAGCUCUGAGCAAAAAUUCAAAAUGAAUCAAAACUUUCAACAACGGAUCUCUUGGUUCUGGCAUCGAUGAAGAACGCAGCGAAAUGCGAUAAGUAAUGUGAAUUGCAGAAUUCAGUGAAUCAUCGAAUCUUUGAACGCACAUUGCGCCCGCCAGUAUUCUGGCGGGCAUGCCUGUCCGAGCGUCAUUUCAACCCUCGAACCCCUCCGGGGGAUCGGCGUUGGGGAUCGGGACCCCUCACACGGGUGCCGGCCCCUAAAUACAGUGGCGGUCUCGCCGCAGCCUCUCCUGCGCAGUAGUUUGCACAACUCGCACCGGGAGCGCGGCGCGCCCACGUCCGUAAAACACCCAACUUUCUGAAAUGUUGACCUCGGAUCAGGUAGGAAUACCCGCUGAACUUAAGCAUAUCAAUAAGCGGAGGAA